UGGAAAACCUUACCAAACACAACAAACAAAUCACCAUGGUUAUAGAAGAUAUACCUGUCCCCAUGUAUGUUCUCAAGAAACUCGCCUACAAGCAAGACGCUAUUGCGAACUUAGGUGGCGUGGAAACCAACAAGUUUGUCUCGCUUGUUGCCGACGUAGCACGUCUGUACUGAAUGUUGCCUCGAACUGAUGAGAUCCACUCAACACCCAUACAACCCCCACUGAAACGUUUAAAUGAUGAGAAAGUAGCAGCUUUAAAAGACACGACCGAUCAACUUCUCAAGGUCAUUGACAGUCAUACAAAUGUUAUAGCAGAUCUCCAACA